UUGAGYUUGAUCMUGGCUCAGAUUGAACGCUGGCGGCAGGCCUWACACAUGCAAGUCGAGCGGCAGCACGAGAAAGCUUGCUUUCUUGGUGGCGAGCGGCGGACGGGUGAGUAACACAUGGGAAUCUGCCCGAUAGUGGGGGACAACGUUUCGAAAGGAACGCUAAUACCGCAUACGUCCUACGGGAGAAAGCAGGCUUAGGCUUGCGCUAUCGGAUGAGCCCAUGUCGGAUUAGCUUGUUGGUGAGGUAAUGGCUCACCAAGGCGACGAUCCGUAACUGGUCUGAGAGGAUGAUCAGUCACACCGGAACUGAGACACGGUCCGGACUCCUACGGGAGGCAGCAGUGGGGAAUAUUGGACAAUGGGGGCAACCCUGAUCCAGCCAUGCCGCGUGUGUGAAGAAGGCCUUCGGGUUGUAAAGCACUUUCAGCGAGGAGGAAAGCAGUAAGGUUAAUACC
rnacentral:rRNA from 1 species